UCCUUCAUGUAGUGACUCAGAGAUCUACGCUCCUUCUACAUGUGCUCUGCAUUCUUGGAUCCCUUCAAUCCCAGCCAUGCGGACAGGAAAAGAAAACAUAGGGAAAUCAUACCAGAUGCCGAGUCACCCAGGCUGGAAGGAACAUUUCACUGCUGUUCACAUUCCAUAGACCAUAUUCGGCAAAUGGCCCACCCCACCUGACUGCAGAGGAGACCCGAAAACGGACAUGAGCACAUCGGUAUUGGUAACCUUGCUCCUCUGAUUCCUCGGGACUCGAUAUUUCAGUCUGUUAUUAAAGACAGAUUUUCGUGUUACAAGAACUCUGCCUUGAGGCUGUGCGCAACUUGAGUACAGGGUUAAAAACUAUAGAAUUAUGUUUCUAGGUGUUUUCAAAGUGAACUGAAUUCUCAAGGUAAAUUCAGUUUCGUGGGUUUAAGGUGGAUCAGUCGUUGUGGUUGGCAUCGUGGAGCAUGCUACAGUGGAGAAGAAGGUCUUGAAGGAAGAUUACAUCUGCCGUGCAGGAAUGGGUGGGAAUGAAGUGGGAAUGGGCGUAGGAAUGAAGGAGAAUGGGUUUCAUGUCAUAAUGGUGCAAUAUCGAGACUGUAUUUUGCAUAUUCAACCAAGUGAAUCUUAGGUUUUGGCAAAUAAUAUUGUAAAAAUGGUAACAGCAAUUUUAAAAAAUACACUAUUCUUUUUUAUUUUUCUAUGUUGCCCUGCAGUUUGUCUUCAUAUGCAGGCAAAAUCUUCAUGUAGAGGGGCUCAUCGCGUGCAUCUUUGAUUCUAGCGUUUUCACACAUCACACUGUCUACCGUCUCCCACUCCACCUCUACCUAUGCUUCUCUCCUUUGGCUCACCCCAUUCUGAUCACAUUGAUAAUCCCCUUCCUGACCUAUCACGCUCUUUCCUAUCUCGAGAUGUUUGUAGCUGAUAUUCUCUGGGUUGGUUUUCACUGAGCUCUUCACAUGACUGGUUCAUUCUCACCUUCAGGUCUUGGCUCAAAGGUCACUCCCCUCAGAGAGAAUUUCCCUGAGUAUCCUACAAACAGCAUCCCCUCCCAUUCUUCUCUAUUACAUCAUAUCACAUCAUCACGCUUAUUUGCAUCAUGUCAUUUUUCACCAUUUAUAGAUCUCUUUCGUUCCUUACUUAUGUUUAUGUUUACCUCACUAGAACAUAGCUUCCAUAAUGAACACUAUUAUGUAUGUAACCUUUCCUCUUCUUUGAAUUAUUCCUGUGGGCUCUUUUCCUGAAUAAAUUCUCAGGAGUGAGAUUAUUGAAUCAAAUAUUGUGAACCUUCUUAUUGUUCUUGAAAUAUGGUUGCCAUAGUGCUCUCCAAAAGUUGUAUCAAUGUACACUGCCAUCAGCCAAAUGUUGUUGUACCCAUUUUACUACAUUAUAAAUCAUUGUCAGUACUGGGUUAUACACACAUGUGAAAUUUGGCAAAAUGACUAAGUGUAUUUAAGGAUUGAUUUAUGAAUCAUUGAGACUAACAAAUACUUGAGCAUGAGAUAAUAUCCUGCAUACUGAAUUCUUCAGGCCAAGCUUUCAAGAUUAUAUACUUCUUUAUUAGUGUUUUUUUAAACAGUUCUCUAUCCUGCAAGUAAUGAAACAUCUUCUGGAGAAGCAUCAAAGCAGAGAGAAAGUACCCAGCCAUCCUGAGAACCACAUCUCUCUCUCCACCAGCCACUCAGCUAUGCCUCUCAAUCAUCAGAGUUACGAAUCUGCAAAUUGGAGACUUCAAAUGUCUUUAACUGCUUAGAAUAUGUGGGAAAUACUGCUGCAGUCACCGCUUCUCCAGCAAGAACCCUGAUGGCUUUCCCUGAACAGGCUCGUGGGGUAAGUGUGUCUCCUUCACAUUACACUAGACUGAGGCGGGGUUUCACAGAACUUUGGGUUAAGGUGGGAGCUGGUUCCAAAUUGUUGGAAACAUUGUUUUGAGGGUGAGCUUGGAGUCCU